AAUGAACGCUGGCGGCAUGCCUAACACAUGCAAGUCGAGCGAGCGGCGGACGGGUGCGUAAUGUCUGGGAAACUGUCUGUUGGAGAGGGAUAACUACUGGAAACGGUAGCUAAUAACGAAUUCCAUCAGAUUUGCCCAGAGGGGAAUAGCUAGUAGGUGGGGUAACGGCUCACCUAGGCGACGAUCCCUAGCUGGUCUGAGAGGAUGACCAGCCACACUGGAACUGAGACACGGUCCAGACUCCUACGGGAGGCAGCAGUGGGGAAUAUUGCACAAUGGGCGCAAGCCUGAUGCAGCCAUGCCGCGUGUGUGAAGAAGGCCUUCGGGUUGUAAAGCACUCUCAGCGGGGAGGCGUUACCCGCAGAAGAAGCACCGGCUAACUCCGUGCCAGCAGCCGCGGUAAUAC
rnacentral:rRNA from 1 species